rnacentral:snRNA from 1 species
GUGAUCGCUUCGGCAGCACGUAUGCUAAAAUUGGAAUGAUACAGAGAUUAGCAUGGCCCCUGCACAAGGAUGACACAUAAAUUCAUGAAGCAUUCCAUAGUUAA